CAGUAGCCGCGGUAAAACGAAGGGGGCUAGCGUUGCUCGGAAUGACUGGGCGUAAAGGGCGCGUAGGCGGAUUGUUUAGUUAGGCGUGAAAUUCCCGGGCUUAACCUGGGGACUGCGCUUAAUACAGGCAGUCUAGAGUGAGGAAGAGGGUUGUGGAAUUCCCAGUGUAGAGGUGAAAUUCGUAGAUAUUGGGAAGAACACCGGUGGCGAAGGCGGCAACCUGGUCCUUGACUGACGCUGAGGCGCGAAAGCGUGGGGAGCAAACAGGAUUAGAUACCCCCGUAGUCCCUGUCUCUUAUAA
rnacentral:rRNA from 1 species